rnacentral:lncRNA from 1 species
AGAAAAACACUACACUGAACAAUACUUUUUGUUAGACCUCAAGUCCAGAACCGUCAUCAGGUGUCCCUUUCCUUGCUGCACCCACGACCUAACCAACCAUCUAAGGAAGCAACUUCUUUCUAUUAUUGGUCCCCACCACUGAAACAACAACCAAUGUUUUAGCAUGCCAAUUAUUUAUGAAGUCCCCGAAUUCUUGCUGAUUUGAUCCCAAACUCAGCUCCAGGUUCGGUGCGGUGCGCUGGUGUCGGCGUCAGGCGGCGUGCUGCUGUGUCGAUGCGUCUCCGUGCUCCUGUGUCGGUGCGUCUCCCUGGAUUCCAGGCGAACGACAGGGCAACAUGCGUUGCCUGGGCUUGGUUGGGCAGGCCCUAGUGGUGGUUGCGUGCUGCUUGCUGGGUGGGCUCAGAGCUACCUGGGCUGGACGUUAGUCAUUCUUUUUUUCCACUAAUCCGUAAUAUAUAAUAUAUAUACCGCAUAUAUACUAUGGGCCCCCUUUUAGUCUGGGCCCCGGGCCGUCGCACCUCUCGCACUGGUCCAAAGCCGGCCCUGUAUGAAGCAAAACCACAACAGCUUAAUCUCCCAAGAGCAGGAUCGUAACAUACUUUCAGAAAAGCGCAGUCCAGAUCAUACACUCAUGAAUAAGUGUUUUGGUUUUCAACUGCCACAAUGAUAUCCCCCCUACCGCAAGCCCCUGCCUAUAGCUUUAAACUGAACCAGCAAGUUAGCAUGUCAUUUAUUUACAAAGUAAUGCUUAGCAACCUAAUUCCCCAAAGGCAGGAGUCUAGAUAAUUUCAGGAUGUG